AGGGUUAUGGUACCAACAGUUAAGGAAUUAGGGGCCAAAAAUAAGCAUUUUUAUACGACCGCAAAAAAAUUUUUGUGGUCGUUUAUUGGUAUGACGUUGGCGUCGUCGUCGUCGUCCAGCGUCGUCGUCCGAAUACACAUUAGUUUUCGCACUCUAACUUUAGUUUAAGUGAAUGGAUCUCAUUGAAAUUUUACCAUAAGGUUCAAUACCACAAAAGGAAGGUGGGGAUUGAUUUUGGGGGUUAUGGUACUAACAGUUAAGGAAUUAGGGGCCAAAAGGGGCCAAAAAUAAGCAUUUUUGUAACUUCCAGACAUAACUUGUGUGUAAGUGUAUGGAUCUCUCUGACAUUGUACCACAAGGUUCCAUAUCACAAAGGGAAUGCUGGGAUUGAUUUUGGGGGUAAUUGUCUCCAAAUUUUAGGAAUUAGGGGCCAAAAAGGGGCAAAAAACAAGCAUUUUUCUAGUUUCAUGACAAUAACUUGUUUGUAAGUGUAUGGAUCUUUAUGAAAUUGUACUACAAGGUUCCAUAUCACAAAGGGAAUACUGGGAUUGAUUUUUGGGGUAAUUUCCUCCAAAUAUUAGGAAUUAGGGGCCAAAAAGGGGCAAAAAACAAGCAUUUUUCUAGUUUCAUGACAAUAACUUGUUUGUGAGUGUAUGGAUCUUUAUGAAAUUGUACUACAAGGUUCCAUAUCACAAAGGGAAAGCUGGAAUUGAGUUUGGGGGUAAUUGCCCUAAACGUUUAGGAAUUUGGGGCCAAAAAGGGGCCAAAAAACAAGCAUUUUUCUAGUUUCCAGACAAUAACUUGUGUUCAAGUGUAUGAAUCUCUCUGAAAUUGUACUGCAAGGUACCAUACCACAAAGGGAAAGCUGGGAUUGAGUUUGGGGGCGAUGAAUCAUAAGGGGGUUCAAAAAAUUGGGGGGGGAUUUUUUUUUUCCUUUUUUUUCUUUAACAUUUUCCAUUUUAAAUUUGUUAUUUCUGAUUUAUAUAUAAAAGCAAAUAAUAAUGAUAUGGUUUGAAUAGGCAUACAUGUGAACCUCUCGACGGGAGUACGAUAAUCCCGUUUUCAGGGGUCUCCUCCCGACCUCCUGUUGAAAAAAUCCUGUGUAUGAAAUUUUUCAUGAAUGAAAAAUUUCUGCCCAACAUAACAUCUCAGGCAUCUGGUGUAACUGACAUUACCUGAAGUUAUAUUUUACCUGUAAAUCAAUUAACAUGCAUAAUUAUAUGGCUUCACUUGUCAGCUUGGGUGUCAAACAUACUGGUAAGCAACGAUUUUUACCUCAGGCUAACUGCCGUUGUGUAACAAAAACUGUGUAUUUAUUGGGUUACUUCCCUUGAUUUAUCCUGUUUUAAGUUACUUUCCUUUUAAUAAUGAAAAUUUUUAAAAGAAUAUAAAUAAAAUAUAAAUUGAACAAAUAAUCAUAAAAGGAUGGUUAUUAAAUGAUUUUAAAUGUCUUAGGACAAAUAAAAAAAUAAUAAUUUGAAAAUUAUUUGAGGAUUCUAUACUUCCUUUUAAGGCUUAAAUUGAAAUUUAUAUAAUAACUAUGACCCUAACUUUUCAGGUAGAAUGAAUUUCUGAGUUUGCAAAUAAAAACUAUUUGCAAGAGAAAAAAUAAAAUAAAAGCUAUUUGCAGACAGCUAAACAAAUGUUCUGGUUGCAAUGAUUGUUUUAUAGAAU